GUCGCCGUGGAUAAGUGGUAUAUUGGCCCUUUCGAAUACACCAGGUGGUACAUAAUUACAUUGUAUGGGGCAGGCGUGGGUUCGAUUCCCAACGGCGACA